GGAGGCGGGCUCCAGAAGAGCAGCUUGCGUCUGUGUCCUCCCGCGUGUCUAGUCGGAAUCCUGUAAUUACCAGGCUUUCUUUCUCAUAGUAACCCUUAAAGGGGGCUUCCAACAUUCUUUCUGAGUCCGCGCUGCGCCAUACAGUGUUCUUCUGUUGACUGCCACCCCCCCAGCCGCACUGUCCUGUCUCCACUGGACACGCCCUCAUUUACAUUUAAGUUAAUUAAAAUUCGGGGCCUCAGCUUUCACUGAGCCAAGAGACACACGCAGAUGUAGGGUUAGGGAGCUCUGAGAAUUGCUCGCGUUCACUCUAAUUACUUUUAAUUACAGGUAAGGCCCAUGCGUUUUCCAGAGCGUAAGAAGAUACAGCGGCCAGAGGACCCCACCCCCUCAUCCCUGCGUGCUCCCCCUGAGGGCACAGGGAAGGCAGGAAACAAACGCCUUGUUCGGAACCAAGCAUGAACCCGUGAUCAGUCUUCAGUAGGAAGAUCACUGAAGACCAUUUCCCAAAUUGGAGGUUUUCAAACAGACUUCAUUUCAGUGAUGUUAUAAUUGGGAGAGUGGCAGUUUCACUCUGUCUUCAAUAAUUUAGAGUGUACUUAAACCAGUGACGGAAAAAAAAAAUUUUUUUUUAAGAUGAUGCUACUGAGGGGCACCUGGGUGGCUCAACCGGUUGAGCGUCUGACUUCGGUUGAGGUCAUGAUCUCAUGUGUGGUGAAUUCAACCUCCGCGUCGGGCUCUGUGCUGACAGCUCAGAGCCUGGAGCCUGCUUCAGAUUCUGUCUCCCUCUCUUUCUGCCCCUCCCCCGCCCCUGCAUGCGAGAGCGAACUCUCUCUC